UACGUAGGGCGCAAGCGUUGUCCGGAAUUAUUGGGCGUAAAGAGCUCGUAGGCGGUUUGUCGCGUCUGCUGUGAAAACCUAAGGCUCAACCUUGGGCUUGCAGUGGGUACGGGCAGACUAGAGUGCGGUAGGGGUGACUGGAAUUCCUGGUGUAGCGGUGGAAUGCGCAGAGUAUCAGGAGGAACACCGAUGGCGAAGGCAGGUCACUGGGCCGCAAACUGACGCUGGAGGAGCGAAAGCAUCGGGGAGCGAACAGG
rnacentral:rRNA from 1 species